rnacentral:rRNA from 1 species
AUUGAACGCUGGCGGCAGGCCUAACACAUGCAAGUCGAACGAGUGGCGCACGGGUGUGAAGUGUCUGGGACACUGCCUGGUGGAGGGGGAACAACUCUGAAAACGGUAGCUAACACCGCAAAACCUCGGAUGUGCACAGAUGGGUUUGGCUAGUAGGGGGGGUAAAGGCUCCCCUAGGCCACGCUCCCUAGCUGGUCUGAGAGGAUGACCAGCCAAACUGGAACUGAGACACGGUCCAGACUCCUACGGGAGGCAGCAGUGGGGAAUAUUGCACAAUGAGCGCAAGCCUGAUGCAGCCAUGCCGCGUGCAUGAGGAAGGCCUUCGGGUUGUAAAGUACUUUCAGCGGGGAGGCGUUACCCGCAGAAGAAGCACCGGCUAACUCCGUGCCAGCCGCCGCGGUAAUAC